rnacentral:rRNA from 1 species
CAAUAGCGUAUAUUAAAGUUGUUGCGGUUAAAAAGCUCGUAGUUGGAUCUCGGCAGGCAGGGGGUGGUUCGCUCUUAGCGCUACUGCUCCAUUUGCCUGUGUGAUUGGCGGAGGUUUCGGGGUGCUCUUCGUUGAGUGACCCGGGGCGCCGUCAGGUUUACUUUGAAAAAAUUAGAGUGCUCAAAGCAGGCUUUUCACGCUUGAAUAUUCGUGCAUGGAAUAAUGGAAUAGGAACUCGUUUCUAUUUUGUUGGUUUUCGGAAAUCGAGUUAAUGAUUAAUAGGGACAAUUGGGGGCAUUAGUAUUCAGACGACAGAGGUGAAAUUCUUGGACCGUCUGAAGACUAACUACUGCGAAAGCAUUUGCCAAGAGUGUUUUCAUUAA